rnacentral:tmRNA from 1 species
GGGGCCGACCGGUUUUGACAGGAUGCGUGAUGGCGUACAUAAGCAUGCAGGCUCAUGGGAUGAGAGCCUCAAAAGAUAGUCCUAUAUAAUAACUGGCGAAUCUAACUACGCCAUGGCUGCCUAAUCUCAAAUAGUUUUGAGAUUCAGGGCUUGGUCCCGAUAAGAUCGGGACGGCCAUCGUCGCUCGGUACCUCACGUUCUGCGGGUAUCGAAAUCGCGACGUCGAUUGACAGAACUGGGCUGUAUGGAGUUGCAACAUGCCGUCGAGACAAAAGCAACUAAGGCAGUGUUUGGUGGCUGAUGACCUGGCAUUGCUCGAAAAUCAAUAUCAGCUAAGCAUGUAGAAAGUCCGUUGAUCAUCUUCUCUGGACCAGGGUUCGAAUCCCUGCGGCUCCACUA